rnacentral:rRNA from 1 species
UACGUAGGGGGCAAGCGUUGUCCGGAAUUAUUGGGCGUAAAGAGCUUGUAGGCGGUUUGUCGCGUCUGCUGUGAAAUUUCGGGGCUCAACCCCGAACUUGCAGUGGGUACGGGCAGACUAGAGUGUGGUAGGGGAGACUGGAAUUCCUGGUGUAGCGGUGAAAUGCGCAGAUAUCAGGAGGAACACCAGCGGCGAAGGCGGCGCUCUGGGCCGGUACUGACACUGAGGAGCGAAAGCGUGGGUAGCAAACAGG